UCAUUCUCUCUUGUCCAUUUGUGUGAUGUAAUAAGAGAUGACUGAUUGACACUGAGAAGCCCGACCAUCGACCUCAUGCACCGAGAAAACAUAAAAAAAUAUUAAAAAAAGCCUAAUUGUUCGCGCUCCCCAAGAAAUUCUCCAUGGCAGCAAGGUUGACCCUCGCAAGACUCAACAGGGCAAUGUAAUAAAAUCUUUUUGUCAAUGAUUUUUGCAGAUAAGGAACCCUUUUUUCUUGAUGAAAAUGGAGAACAUGUGUGCAAUCAAGAAAGAUAUGACUGAGAAUCGCAUAUAGCAUGAUCAAGGAUGCAGAAGACAAAGUUUUAAUUACCCCGGGGAAGACUGUCCUCAUUGAGCCUACCAGCGUUAAUACAGGCAUCGGUAUGGCCUUUAUCGCAGCAGUGAAGGGUUACAAGGUA